GGGGCUAUAGCUCAGUGGUAGAGCGCCCACCUAGCACACACGUGUGAGGCACUGAGUUUGAUCCUCAGCACCACA
rnacentral:tRNA from 1 species